GAAAGUAGUCCGGCGAACUAUCCCAAAAUGCCAAAAUAGCAAAGAUGUCUCUCCAAUGAGAGCGCCACACUGAGCAGUGUGGGGUCACGGCUCAGUG